rnacentral:rRNA from 1 species
AUGAACGCUGGCGGCGUGCCUAACACAUGCAAGUCGAACGGAGUUAUGCAGAGGAAGUUUUCGGAUGGAAUCGGCGUAACUUAGUGGCGGACGGGUGAGUAACGCGUGGGAAACCUGCCCUGUACCGGGGGAUAACACUUAGAAAUAGGUGCUAAUACCGCAUAAGCGCACAGCUUCACAUGAGGCAGUGUGAAAAACUCCGGCGGUACAGGAUGGUCCCGCGUCUGAUUAGCCAGUUGGCAGGGUAACGGCCUACCAAAGCGACGAUCAGUAGCCGGCCUGAGAGGGUGAACGGCCACAUUGGGACUGAGACACGGCCCAAACUCCUACGGGAGGCAGCAGUGGGGAAUAUUGCACAAUGGGGGAAACCCUGAUGCAGCGACGCCGCGUGAGUGAAGAAGUAUUUCGGUAUGUAAAGCUCUAUCAGCAGGGAAGAAAAUGACGGUACCUGACUAAGAAGCCCCGGCUAACUACGUGCCAGCAGCCGCGGUAAUACGUAGGGGGCAAGCGUUAUCCGGAUUUACUGGGUGUAAAGGGAGCGUAGACGGCAUGACAAGCCAGAUGUGAAAACCCAGGGCUCAACCCUGGGACUGCAUUUGGAACUGCCAGGCUGGAGUGCAGGAGAGGUAAGCGGAAUUCCUAGUGUAGCGGUGAAAUGCGUAGAUAUUAGGAGGAACACCAGUGGCGAAGGCGGCUUACUGGACUGUAACUGACGUUGAGGCUCGAAAGCGUGGGGAGCAAACAGGAUUAGAUACCCUGGUAGUCCACGCGGUAAACGAUGAUUGCUAGGUGUAGGUGGGUAUGGACCCAUCGGUGCCGCAGCUAACGCAAUAAGCAAUCCACCUGGGGAGUACGUUCGCAAGAAUGAAACUCAAAGGAAUUGACGGGGGCCCGCACAAGCGGUGGAGCAUGUGGUUUAAUUCGAAGCAACGCGAAGAACCUUACCAGGUCUUGACAUCCUACUAACGAGAUAGAGAUAUGUUAGGUGCCCUUCGGGGAAAGUAGAGACAGGUGGUGCAUGGUUGUCGUCAGCUCGUGUCGUGAGAUGUUGGGUUAAGUCCCGCAACGAGCGCAACCCUUAUCCUUAGUAGCCAGCAGGUAGAGCUGGGCACUCUAGGGAGACUGCCGGGGAUAACCCGGAGGAAGGCGGGGAUGACGUCAAAUCAUCAUGCCCCUUAUGAUUUGGGCUACACACGUGCUACAAUGGCGUAAACAAAGGGAAGCGAGACAGUGAUGUUGAGCAAAUCCCAGAAAUAACGUCUCAGUUCGGAUUGUAGUCUGCAACUCGACUACAUGAAGCUGGAAUCGCUAGUAAUCGCGAAUCAGCAUGUCGCGGUGAAUACGUUCCCGGGUCUUGUACACACCGCCCGUCACACCAUGGGAGUUGGAAAUGCCCGAAGCCUGUGACCUAACCGCAAGGGAGGAGCAGUCGAAGGCAGGUCUAAUAACUGGGGUG